rnacentral:rRNA from 1 species
GGACUUGGACUCUGUCGUGUUACAACGACUGGUCUGAAAUGCCUGAGUGCACCCUGCUGUUGCAGCGUCUUCAGUGUGAUAAGCAUCUUCACUGAUUCAAGUUCCUUUGGGACACGUAGCAUUGUGGGCUCUGUGCUGACAAACCGUCUUUGGACAAUCUUUGACAAUUUGACCUCAAAUCGGGUGGGACUACCCGCUGAACUUAAGCAUAUCAAUAAGCGGAGGAAAAGAAACUAACAAGGAUUCCCCUAGUAACGGCGAGUGAAGAGGGAAAAGCUCAAAUUUUGAAUCUGGUGUCUUUGGCGCCCGAGUUGUAAUCUAGAGAAGUGUUUUCUGCCUCGGACCACACAUAAAUUCCCUGGAAUGGGGUGUCAUAGAGGGUGAGAAUCCCGUUUGUGGUGUGGACUACCUUGGCUCUGUGAUACACUCUCAACGAGUCGAGUUGUUUGGGAAUGCAGCUCAAAAUGGGUGGUAAAUUCCAUCUAAAGCUAAAUAUUGGCGAGAGACCGAUAGCGAACAAGUACCGUGAGGGAAAGAUGAAAAGCACUUUGGAAAGAGAGUGAAACAGUACGUGAAAUUGUUGAAAGGGAAGCGUUUGAAGUCAGUCACAUCGGUCGGAAUUCAGCCUGGCUUUGCCUGGUGUACUUUCUGGCAGAUGGGUCAGCGUCAAUUUCGACUGAGGGAAAAAGACUUGAGGAAUGUGGCUGUCCUCGGGCAGUGUUAUAGCCUCUUGUUGUAUGUCUCAGUUGGGAUUGAGGACCGCAGCACGCCUUAUGGCCGGGGUUCGCGCCCUCGGAACGUGCU